rnacentral:lncRNA from 1 species
CCCAGUUUUAGCAGAGCCCGCUGUAAAAUGAGAAAGCCAGCCUCCUGACGACUGUCACUCUGCUCUCUUCCAGCACCUCUGAUACACAGUGACUGGAUCUCCUCUUCCCGCAGACUGCUCUAUUCUCUUGACCUCUGUUGUGCAUUGGCCAUAGAUCCUGCUUCCUAUGAAGCCUCUCCCAUGUGGGCUCCUAAUUCACACGGUGUUUUGCUGGAGCACUCGUGUUCUUCCUAGAAGCCCAGCUGCUGGUCUUGGAAGAGUCUGUCCAACUGCAAGAGUCUGGCAGCUGGAGCACAGCUCCCACUGGAUUCUCAGGACUGGGUGAAAGGGGUCAGUCGGGAAGGUAAACCAACUGUAGGUGUUUCAGAGAGAGAACUUAGGGAUUAGGUCCCAUCCCACAAGGUCUAUGCAUGGGACACACACUAUGCACUGGAGAUAGGCAGAGGGUCACAGGAUUAAGGCCAGCCCGGGCUCCACAGUUUCUCAAGCACCACACACCACGACCUGGAAUGCUGGAGCACUGCCCAGAGAGUGGGCAGCCCACCUCCAGCUCUGCAGUCUCCGGUUCCCUGUGUUCUUCCAGCCGUUCCCCAGACCCAGGCUGGCAGCGACUGCUUCUACUGCUCUGCAGAGAAAUGCAUCUAUGUGUGACCCUUAGCAGAACACUGUUGCAAGGAGUCUGGCCCAUCUGUGCUGGGGAGACAGAGAAAGGAAACUGUGGCUAAUGAAACAGUAUACUGCUGCCCCCAUCGGUGCCACUCGGCAGUCUACUGUAUCCAUGUGCCGACCUGCCCCCAGAAAUCUCAGGCAUAAUUUCCAUGGCACCAUUAGAAGGUGGGCUAAGCCAGCUACUGUGAGAAGGAAGCACAAUAACGGGCUUCUGCUUGCCAUGUAUCCAGCACAGACGUGCAGAUAACAGAGUAAUCGGUGGUACACACUAAUGAACCCAGCAUUCACAUGGGGCAGAAGGAUCGGGAGUUCUGAGUGGUCCUUGCAAGUAGCAGGUUCUAGGCCAGCCUAGGCUAUGGAUAACUCUGUCUCGAACACACACAAAGCAUUGUAUGAAUGGUGUUAUUUUAGAACAUGGUUCUCUACCCAGCCCCCUCUAUCCCUCAGGCAUUCUAGUCUCUGUGCUAACAGGACUAAAUGACUCCUACAAAAAUAAUAGUACUAAUGUAUAAACCAAUUCUAUGUUUGUAAUAGAGAAAAAAUUGAAUAUUCUUUAACAUGAAGUAUGGUCCUAGAAAGGAAUAUUAUAUGGUAAAUUAAAUUGAUUACAAUAGAUCUGGUUGACAUGAAAGUAUAUUUUUGUGAAAUAUUUCAAAAGAAUGUAUAUUUUCUCAGUUUUAUAAAAAUGAAGAAUAAAUUGGUUGUUUAUACAGA